GCCGACUUAGGCUCAAUUGGUAGAGCAACUGAUUUGUAAUCAGUAGGUUGGGGGUUCAAGUCCUCUAGUCGGCACCA
rnacentral:tRNA from 1 species